rnacentral:lncRNA from 1 species
CAGCGCCCGAACCGCCCCCAGCCGCUCUCACAGGUUUGUUAUGUAACCGCCGGGCCAGCCCCGCCCUCAGGGUGGGCUGAGGUGCGGCUCCCUGGAGACCCCGCCCGCUAGCCGGGAGCCAGCGGCGCAGUGCGAGUUCAGCCCGCUUUCUUCGCGCUCCGCGUCAAAUCUCUCCAGCUCUGUUCUCGCAUCCCGGGUUUAGAUCCCGCAGAGUUAAGUAUCCCGCGUGUGAAGGGAUGAACUGAGACUCCCAGAGGGCAUAACUGAUGGAGGCACGAAGAUGUCUGCUCUUCAGCUUUGCCAAGAUGGGCCACCUGUUUUAAAUCCAAAAGCUGGUAGGAGUUUCAGGUACACUGCAUUUGCUUCUGCUGUCCUAUUGCACUUGGACUUGGUGCAGCUAUGACCUAAUGCAGAAGACAAAGUAUGAAGCUACCAAACUGUCAGGGCCAGAACUAAGAGCUCGGCAAGUUUUUCUUUGUUUUUUGAUACAAACUGAAAGAUGCCUUUGGUUAUAUCUACCCACUGAAAACAAGAUGCCAUCUCUGGAUUACACAGGGAUUCGUGAAGGCUGACAUUUGUCUAUUUGUUAAAAAAUGUACAUGUCAUAUACACCAUGGAAUACUAUGCAGCCAUAAAAAGGAAUGAGAUCAUGUCCUUUGCAGGGACAUGGAUGAAGCUGGAAACCAUCAUCCUCAGCAAACACAGGAACAGAAAACCAAAAACUGCAUGUUCUCACUUAUAGGUGGGAGUUGAAUGAUGAGAAUACAUGGACACAGGGAGGGGAACAUCACACACCAGGGCCUGUUGCAGGGUCGGGGAGAGGGGAGGGAGAGCAUUAGGACAAAUAGCUAAUGUAUGCAGGGCUUAAAACCUUGAUGAUGGGUUGAUAGGUGUGGCAAACCCACCAUGGCACACGUAUACCUAUGUAACAAACCUGCAUGUUGUGCACUUUUAUCCUAGAACUUAAAGUAAAAUAAAAAUAAAAAGAAAAAAAUACAUGUCUAUAGUAUUAAUCUUCCUAAAGCAAUGCUUUCAUCAUGUCAGUCCCUUGCUUUCAAAAAAAUCUGUUAUAGCAUUUUGUUGAUCACAGAGUAUUACCAAACCUCCUUACUUAGCAGUUUAGGCCUUCUGGAAACUUCUAUUUCUUCAACAAACACUUCUUUUUAUUACACAAAUAAUUCAUAGUAAUAUAUAAAGAAAAAAUAC